rnacentral:rRNA from 1 species
UACGAAGGGGGCUAGCGUUGCUCGGAAUUACUGGGCGUAAAGCGUGCGCAGGCGGUUAUUUAAGUCAGGUGUGAAAGCCCUGGGCUUAACCUAGGAAUUGCGCUUGAGACUGGAUAGCUUGGAGGUGCGGCAGAGGGAGGUGGAAAUUCCACGUGUAGCAGUGAAAUGCGUAGAGAUGUGGAGGAACACCGAUGGCGAAGGCAGCCUCCUGGGCCAGCACUGACGCUUCGAUGCACGAAAGCGUGGGGAGCAAACAGG